rnacentral:tRNA from 1 species
GUGGACAUGGCCGAGCGGUCUAAGGCGCCUGACUGCAAACCAGGUGUAUCGUCAGUUCGAAUCUGACUGUCCACUCCA